AAAGUAGGAGCCUGGGUCUGGAAACAGGGUAGAACCUGGGGACAGCUCUGGGAGAAUAAGAAGGAACAUGAUCCACUUUAUAUUUACGUAGAAUGUUCAUUAAAGCAGAAAUUGUUGUGGUAAUAACUAACUCAUGUGGCUGGAGCAUGGUCCUGGGAGCCACAGGACCACAUGCAAAGUGGGCAGGCCCAGGUCAGACAAAGCUGCGAGGGGUCUCAGCACAGCUUACUGUGAGCCUGGGACUCGGGCAAGUUUAUUUAACAUCCAAGCCCUAUUUCCCAAUCAUAAAAUGGAGGUAAGACCCAUCCUGUAGGCAUCUGAAGUGAUCAAAAACACUUAGGUAAAGUACAGGGCAACCAAUCAAUAAACAGCAGCAUUUAUAGAAUUUCCUAAUUUAUAAUGAACUUUUGCAUACAUGGUUUCACUUCUUACUACCCUGACUAAAUCCAAGUCUUCCAUUUUUGGCUAAAGCAGCACCCCAGUGUUCUUCUAACUUCGAAGGGCCAAAAUAUUUUCACCCUGACUUCCCUCUUUUGCCAACUUUAAUUAUUGGGAGCAGAAAUGUAACACUCAGUGUGAGAGUCAUAGAGCCUUGUCUGGACUCAGUGGUGACAUCACAGGGGAUGAAGUCUGGGCACAAGAUACAGGGGUGUGGUGAUGGACACACCCAUUUGCCAACCCUCUUCCAACCCAGUCCAGUCUCUUGGUUCACAGCAGCAAAGGGUCACUUCUGUUUCUAAGGCUUAGAGAACAGAACACUCUCCAGGCGACAUCCUGAACAGGAGGUUGUUCCUUUGGCCCUCGAAUUGAGACAGGCUGGGACCUGGGACCCUAUGCUUCAAUGCUGCGGUGCUUGCACCUGGACAUAUCUCCCCACCAGCAACAAAAUAUAAAGAAACUGUAUGGAACUAAAAAUAACUGCGGUCAUGGGCUGUGAGGGCAAAUUCUGGACAAAAGAUACAAAGAGACCAAAAAGCCCAAGAGACACUUCUGAAGAGCUUGGAGCACACGCAGGGUACUGCGCAGGCCCCCUGCACAUAACACCAGCUAAGACGUGGACAGAACACCUAAGGCACCCCUCCAAGCCCGCCCCCUGGGCACACCCUGCCCUCUGCGCGUAUAAGGAGCCAGCUUGCUCCCCAGAGCAAGCAAACAAGCAAGGAACCUGUUGUUUCUUCUCCUUCCCCUGAAGCUGGGGCCCCAGUAAACCGUCUGAAUUUCC